rnacentral:rRNA from 1 species
AACGAACGCUGGCGGCAUGCCUAACACAUGCAAGUCGAACGAGACCUUCGGGUCUAGUGGCGCACGGGUGCGUACCGAGUGGGAACCUGCCCUUAGGUUCGGAAUAACUCCCCGAGAGGGGUGCUCAUAACGGUUAAUGUCUUCGGACCAAAGAUUUCUCGCUUUUGGAUGGGCCCGCGUUGGAUUAGCUAGUUGGUAGGGUACUAGCCUACCAAGGCGACGAUCCAUAGCUGGUCGGAGAGGAGGACCAGCCACACUUGCACUGAGACACGGCCCAGUCUCCUACGGGAGGGAGCAGUGGGGAGUAUUAGGCAAGGAGGCAAAACCUGGUCCAGCAGUGCCGGGGAAGAGAGGAAGGCCUUAGUGUUGUAAAGCUCUUUUACCCGAGAUGAUAAUGACAGUACCGGGAGAAUAAGCACCGGCUAACUCCGUG